AGCCGUUGUCCGGAUUUAUUGGGCGUAAAGCGCGCGCAGGCGGUCUUUUAAGUCUGAUGUGAAAGCCCCCGGCCUCACCCGGGGAGGGUCCAUUGGGAAACUGGAAGACUGGCAGUCCAGAAGAGGAGAGUGGAAUUCCCACGUGUAGCGGUGAAAUGCGUAGAUAUGUGGAGGAACACCAGUGGCGAAGGCGACUCUCUGGUCUGUAACACACGCUGAGGCGCCAAAGCGUGGGGAGCAAACAGGAUUAGAUACCCUGGUAGUCCACGCCGUAAACGAUGAGUGCUAAGUGUCAGGGGGUUUCCGCCCCUUAGUGCUGCAGCUACCGCAUUAAGCACUCCGCCUGGGGUGUACGACCGCAAGGUUGAAACUCAAAGGAAUUGACGGGGGCCCGCACAAGCGGUGGAGCAUGUGGUUUAAUUCCAAGCAACGCGAAGACCCUUUCCAGGUCUUGACAUCCUUUGACCACUCUGGAGACAGAGCUUUCCCUUCGGGGACAAAGUGACAGGUGGUGCAUGGUUGUCGUCAGCUCGUGUCGUGAGAUGUUGGGUUAAGUCCCGCAACGAGCGCAACCCUUGAUUUUAGUUGCCAGCAUUUAGUUGGGCACUCUAAAGUGACUGCCGGUGCAAGCCGGAGGAAGGUGGGGAUGACGUCAAAUCAUCAUGCCCCUUAUGACCUGGGCUACACACGUGCUACAAUGGAUAGUACAAAGGGUCGCGAAGCCGCGAGGUGGAGCUAAUCCCAUAAAACUAUUCUCAGUUCGGAUUGUAGGCUGCUACUCGCCUACAUGAAGCCGGAAUCGCUAGUAAUCGUGGAUCAGCAUGCCACGGUGAAUACGUUCCCGGGCCUUGUACACACUGCCCGUCACACCACGAGAGUUUGUAACACCCGAAG
rnacentral:rRNA from 1 species